rnacentral:rRNA from 1 species
UAGGGAAUCUUCCACAAUGGACGCAAGUCUGAUGGAGCAACGCCGCGUGAGUGAAGAAGGUUUUCGGACCGUAAAGCUCUGUUGUUGGUGAAGAAGGAUAGAGGUAGUAACUGGCCUUUAUUUGACGGUAAUCAACCAGAAAGUCACGGCUAACUACGUGCCAGCAGCCGCGGUAAUACGUAGGUGGCAAGCGUUGUCCGGAUUUAUUGGGCGUAAAGCGAGCGCAGGCGGAAAAAUAAGUCUGAUGUGAAAGCCCUCGGCUUAACCGAGGAAUUGCAUCGGAAACUGUUUUUCUUGAGUGCAGAAGAGGAGAGUAGAACUCCAUGUGUAGCGGUGGAAUGCGUAGAUAUAUGGAAGAAUACCAGUGGCGAAGGCGGCUCUCUGGUCUGCAACUGACGCUGAGGCUCGAAAGCAUGGGUAGCGAACAGGAUUAGAUACCCUGGUAGUCCAUGCCGUAAACGAUGAGUGCUAAGUGUUGGGAGGCUUCCGCCUCUCAGUGCUGCAGCUAACGCAUUAAGCACUCCGCCUGGGGGAGUACGACCGCAAGGUUGAAAC